rnacentral:lncRNA from 1 species
CCGGGGAUUUUUCCUGCGGAAAAUUAGGGCCUUAGAAUCUUCGGUGCGGAGAACCACCGGCUAGGUUAGUUUCCCGAUGAGAAACUGAGCCCAGGUGGGUUCCUUCGCAGGGUUUCGCCGGUCGUGAGGUCUAUUUCCGGAGAAACGGACACUUUUGGGACCUCCCUUCUGAUGAAAUAUGGCCACGAAGGCCUUUUUUGCAAAAUCCCGAGCUUGGAGGCUCUUUGGCGGGUUUUUGGAAGCUCGGAGGGCAUUGGUGUAAAUCUUCAGAGCCGCAGGGGCUUUCCUAUGACUUUUAAUAUUCCUGAGGGCCUGGGCGCGAUUUUUGCAGGAAAGCAAGGGCCUGGCUUGGAAUUUCAGUGUCCCAGAGGGCCUUUUUAUGAAAGUCCCCGAGCUGUGGGCUUUUCCCCGCGCGCGCACUCUUGGGCCGCAGCGGCCUAGUGGGCUCUUCGGGUGUGCAGGCCAGGCCUAACUGGGCCCGAGAGGGGCUCCUUUUCUUUUCUUUUCUUUUUUUAGCGCGAACUUGGGCCACGGCUGGACCGGCUCAGCUGGGCUAGCGUACCGGUUCGCGAACCGAGCAGCUCGAUCGGACGGUGGGUAACCCCCUGAUGCCCUAGAUCGAACGGCCGGCGGUUGUCUUCCUCCUUCGUACGAUCCAGAAAGGUGGGCGUCCUCCUUUCCUCUUUCGUAGGGGGGCAUGGCUGCCCAGGGAUGACGCCGGCGACCGCGGGGGCUCGGCUAGGACGGCGCGGACCAGUCUGGGGCGACCAAACGGCCACAUCCUGCCCCCUCCUGCCCCCUCCUUUGCUUCUUUUUGCUUUUCCUCCUUUCGUUUUUUUCUUGGCAUUGGACAGAGCUUGUCCCCGGCCGACGACGUGUCGAUUCGUGGAUGGCUAGGCCCGGACGUCGAGGGGGGCCCGUUGGCCUAUAAAAUGGAGUAGUGCGGGGCUUGAGUAGACACGCCCACUCUCGUUUCCUCCCCUUCCAGCGCCGAAGACAAGCUCGGCGACAUCCGAAGGACGGGGCGAGACCGGUGGCAACUAGGGGCUUCUUUGGGGCGCGUAGCUAGCUUCCGGUGCUUUCCCGUCGCUCGCGCUUGCCUAAAGAUCGUCGAAUCGUUGUGGGGGCUGAAUUUCCGGCGAAGACGUGGCUUCGAGCCGCGAAAGGGGGGCGCCUAGGGUCUUUCGUGUCCUUGUCGAGUUCGGCCGCGCCGGGGUGUUUGGUUCUUGCCCAUCGGGCAUUCUUGACGCGCGUGCCGGUGAGCAUUGGGGAGGGGGUGCCCGGGCGCUUAGUCGAGCAUCCUCGGGGCGCGGUCGGCAUGGGCAUGCGCAGGAGGGCGCGCGCGGGGCGUAGGAGUGAAGUCGUGGGUGGGCGCGCAUGCGCGGCCACGCGCGGCACGGAGCUCCCUCUAGUCCCAGUAGUAGUCGGUAGCGGAGGGGUGCGACGCGGGGCACGGCACGCGCGCGCGGGCUUCUGUUGCGCAAGGCAUGCCUCGGCGUUGGCCGCGAACUGGCAUGGGCGCGGCGUUACCCAGGGUGUCGGUUGUUUGAUCGAACACCUUGCGGUCGUCUGAUGCUUCCUCCUGGCUCGGGGCUGGGCCCGUGAUAGGAACGUGGGCCUUGGGCCGUUGUGGGGGAGCUGGGCUCCCCUUUUCUUUUUUUUUCUUCGCGGGUUGGGCCUUCUUCUUUAGCCUGGCAGACCGAAGGGAGGCCGUGGGCCCUAGGAAAAGCCUGGCCGACCGGGAGCUAGGCUCCUGCUUCCCCCUUGCGACGUGGGCUAAUGGCUAAGCGCCGGCCUUGGGUCGGUUUUUCUGCCUAUGCUGUCGGGCCGAUGCGUGGGGAGGCCGCCGAGGGGAGCUGGGCCUUCCUCCUUCCUCUUUUUUUUUAUCCGUUCGGCGGUUGAGUUUUGCGACGUAGAUUUUCCCUAGUUGCUUCCUUAGGAAUUUUUGGAACUUGUACUAAUCUUUUUGCAUCUUCUUGUAGGAGCGUCGAGAGGGAGGCUUCCCAUGGGAGCGGGGCCGAGGCGCAGACAUCGGGGGGUAAGCCGCGGAGGU